AGCGAACGCUGGCGGCAGGCUUAACACAUGCAAGUCGAGCGGGCGUAGCAAUACGUCAGCGGCAGACGGGUGAGUAACGCGUGGGGACGUACCUUUUGGUUCGGAACAACACAGGGAAACUUGUGCUAAUACCGGAUAAGCCCUUACGGGGAAAGAUUUAUCGCCGAAAGAUCGGCCCGCGUCUGAUUAGCUAGUUGGUGAGGUAACGGCCCACCAAGGCGACGAUCAGUAGCUGGUCUGAGAGGAUGAUCAGCCACAUUGGGACUGAGACACGGCCCAAACUCCUACGGGAGGCAGCAGUGGGGAAUAUUGGACAAUGGGGGCAACCCUGAUCCAGCCAUGCCGCGUGAGUGAUGAAGGCCCUAGGGUUGUAAAGCUCUUUUGUGCGGGAAGAUAAUGACGGUACCGCAAGAAUAAGCCCCGGCUAACUUCGUGCCAGCCGCCGCAGUAA
rnacentral:rRNA from 1 species